AAGCCGAUGUGUUCAAGAACAUGCCCUCCAAGACAGAACUAAUUGUGCGUGUGGAGCUGAGCCCUAUGCAGAAGAAAUACUACAAGUACAUCCUCACUCGAAAUUUUGAAGCACUCAAUGCCCGAGGUGGUGGCAACCAGGUGUCUCUGCUGAAUGUGGUGAUGGAUCUUAAGAAGUGCUGCAACCAUCCAUACCUCUUCCCUGUGGCUGCAAUGGAAGCCCCUAAGAUGCCUAAUGGCAUGUAUGAUGGCAGUGCCCUAAUCAGAGCAUCUGGGAAAUUAUUGCUGCUGCAGAAAAUGCUCAAGAACCUUAAGGAGGGUGGGCAUCGUGUACUCAUCUUUUCCCAGAUGACCAAGAUGCUAGACCUGCUAGAGGAUUUCUUGGAACAUGAAGGUUAUAAAUACGAACGCAUCGAUGGUGGAAUCACUGGGAACAUGCGGCAAGAGGCCAUUGACCGCUUCAAUGGUGAGAGAGAAGGAGUUGUUUAGUUUCAGGAAUCCUCAUUUGCUUAUAUCUUUGGACUGUAACUUCUUGUGCAUCUCCUUUUCUGUGUAGUUCUUUUGGGACUUUGUCAUUUGAGAUGGAGUAAAGCUUUUGAAUGUCUCAAUUGGACGAAUGUAUUGGACUAUUCCUAGGAGAUUUUUUUCUUUUGGGGUAUUUGUUCUUUCUGCUAGAAAGAAGAAAGCAUUGUA
rnacentral:sRNA from 1 species